rnacentral:rRNA from 1 species
UACAGAGGCCUCGAGCGUUAGGCGGAAUCACUGGGCUUAAAGCGUGUGUAGGCGGACUUCUAAGUACCUUGUGAAAUCCCACGGCUCACCCGUGGAACUGCUUGGUAUACUGGUUGUCUUGAGCCUUCUAGGGGCGAGUGGAACAAAUGGUGGAGCGGUGAAAUGCGUAGAUAUCAUUGGAACGCCAAUGGUGAAAACAACUCGCUGGGGAAGUGCUGACGCUGAGACACGAAAGCCAGGGGAGCGAACGGG